CGCUGGCGGCAUGCCUAACACAUGCAAGUCGAACGAACCCUUCGGGGUUAGUGGCGCACGGGUGCGUAACACGUGGGAAUCUGCCCUUUGCUUCGGAAUAACAGUUAGAAAUGACUGCUAAUACCGGAUGAUGUCGUAAGACCAAAGAUUUAUCGGCAAAGGAUGAGCCCGCGUAGGAUUAGGUAGUUGGUGGGGUAAAGGCCUACCAAGCCGACGAUCCUUAGCUGGUCUGAGAGGAUGAUCAGCCACACUGGGACUGAGACACGGCCCAGACUCCUACGGGAGGCAGCAGUGGGGAAUAUUGGACAAUGGGCGAAAGCCUGAUCCAGCAAUGCCGCGUGAGUGAUGAAGGCCUUCGGGUUGUAAAGCUCUUUUACCAGGGAUGAUAAUGACAGUACCUGGAGAAUAAGCUCCGGCUAACUCCGUG
rnacentral:rRNA from 1 species